UACGUAGGGGGCAAGCGUUAUCCGGAUUUACUGGGUGUAAAGGGAGCGUAGGUGGUUUGGUAAGUCAGAUGUGAAAGCCCGGGGCUCAACCCCGGGACUGCAUUUGAAACUAUCAGACUAGAGUGCAGGAGAGGUAAGUGGAAUUCCUAGUGUAGCGGUGAAAUGCGUAGAUAUUAGGAGGAACACCAGUGGCGAAGGCGGCUUACUGGACUGUAACUGACACUGAGGCUCGAAAGCGUGGGGAGCAAACAGG
rnacentral:rRNA from 1 species